rnacentral:rRNA from 1 species
GUGGGGAAUUUUGGACAAUGGGCGAAAGCCUGAUCCAGCCAUGCCGCGUGUGUGAAGAAGGUCUUCGGAUUGUAAAGCACUUUAAGUUGGGAGGAAGGGCAGUAAGUUAAUACCUUGCUGUUUUGACGUUACCGACAGAAUAAGCACCGGCUAACUUCGUGCCAGCAGCCGCGGUAAUACGAAGGGUGCAAGCGUUAAUCGGAAUUACUGGGCGUAAAGCGCGCGUAGGUGGUUUUGUAAGUUGGAGGUGAAAUCCCCGGGCUCAACCUGGGAACUGCCUCCAAAACUGCAUGACUAGAGCACGGUAGAGGGUAGUGGAAUUUCCUGUGUAGCGGUGAAAUGCGUAGAUAUAGGAAGGAACACCAGUGGCGAAGGCGACUACCUGGACUGAUACUGACACUGAGGUGCGAAAGCGUGGGGAGCAAACAGGAUUAGAAACCCCUGUAGUCC